GCGGCAGGCCUAACACAUGCAAGUCGAACGGUAGCACAGAGGAGCUUGCUCCUUGGGUGACGAGUGGCGGACGGGUGAGUAAUGUCUGGGAAACUGCCCGAUGGAGGGGGAUAACUACUGGAAACGGUAGCUAAUACCGCAUAACGUCGCAAGACCAAAGAGGGGGACCUUCGGGCCUCUUGCCAUCGGAUGUGCCCAGAUGGGAUUAGCUAGUAGGUGGGGUAACGGCUCACCUAGGCGACGAUCCCUAGCUGGUCUGAGAGGAUGACCAGCCACACUGGAACUGAGACACGGUCCAGACUCCUACGGGAGGCAGCAGUGGGGAAUAUUGCACAAUGGGCGCAAGCCUGAUGCAGCCAUGCCGCGUGUAUGAAGAAGGCCUUCGGGUUGUAAAGUACUUUCAGCGAGGAGGAAGGCAAUACGGUUAAUA
rnacentral:rRNA from 1 species